rnacentral:lncRNA from 1 species
GCUUUUAUCCUCACUUUAACCUACCUAAUGCUGUUUCACUCAAAUGUCUUUUCUUUCUUCCCUGUAACAGUUGUGCAGAAGAUUCUGACCUUAUUUGAGGCUUACAUAUAGUUUGGAGAUAUGGAAAGGAGUGGAAAAAGAAAUAUGUAAGCUGAAGUGCCAAACUCACACUGAAAUAAAGGGCAUGGCCUACCAGCUGACAAGGAGUGUCUGGUUUCAAGAUGGCAAAUGAUAGACAAAUAUGUUUUACAUAGGUACAUGCACAGAUAGGCACAUAUAAAUCCACAUUUGCAAGCAAAAAGUGGAACCUGUAAAGCAGAAUUUCUGAGGAAUCUCUAAAAGACUAAUACUAUAUGGAAUUUGAAGAGGAAACCCAGAGCAGAAGCACAUAGUGAAGUACUGCCACAAAGAUGUGUGACGCCACUAAAGGUGCUCUAGACCCACAAGAAAGGAAAACUGGGAGCAGGACAACUAUCUGGAUACUGACUGCACAUGCCAAUAUCUCAGUCAGACUAACAGAAUCAGAGCUUUAGGCAGAGAAAUGAAUGGUUGGAGAGAGAAGGCAAUGCCCAGGUGCCCUGCUUUGAAAUGUCCCGCCCAUCCCCAAAUUAGUCUGAAAAUUUGAAAUGUAGUAUAAAUUCCCUUCCCAUCAAAAGUGUCCCAUAAACAGCAGUGGUAGAACAGUUUUAACUGAGUAUCACAGCUUCAAUGAUGAGUAUAGAAAACUCCAAAAAUCUGAAUACCAACACAAUCAAAAAAGAGGUACAAACCACAAGUGGAAGAACCAUCUCAAGAAAUAAUGAAGCAUUCAUGGAAUACAGAUUAGCAACUCUUUAAAACAGUAUUGCCAAGAGAAACAGGUAAGAGGCCCUCUGGAGAAAUGUCAGAAAUAGAAAAUGUAAUUGUUCAAAUGUUAAAAUCAUCACUAGGCUAAGAAACAGAAUGGACACAGCUGAAAAUCAAAAUCAGGGUCUGGAAGAGGAAUUCCAUAACUUGAUGGAACAGAGUGAUAGAAAAUAUGGAGGGAAAAAGACCGCAAUGGGGUAACAAGAUGAGACUAGAAAGAAUGAAAAGGAGGGAAUAGUUGAAGAAGUGAUAGCUGAAGUGUUUUCCAGAAUCAAUAUUAAACCCUAAGAUUUCAGCGAUGCACUUGCCUGUCAAACAGCAAAUGAAAAAUCAUAAAUGCAUCACAGAUGAUGAUACCCUGAAAGUUAUUAAUACAAGAAAACAGCAUGGCAGGAGUAAUCUAAACGUACUAAAAUGGUAGCUAGAAUUGUGAGAGGUGGAUUUUAAAAUGUAUGUGUGUGUUAAAACGUGUGUAGGUGUUAAAAGUGUCCAUUCUUUUAAUAACAUUUUGCUGUAGCAUUUAAGCAAAUCGUAGACAAUUAACGUUUCUCUUAUUUUCUACAAGCAAUUCUCCACUCUUCUGAAAACAUCAAAUUUUGUGAAGGAAUCUUAACUUUCACAAAAGUUGAUUUUUUUUUUUUGAGACGGAG